AACUAAAUUUUUUUGAGCAAGGAAAUUCAAACUAUUAAAGUUGAAGUGGCCAAAGCGCAUAUUCCAUAACCAAUUAUCACCAUCCAUCAUUGAACUAAAGCAAGGUAAUUCAUGAUAAUUGAGAUAUAAUGGAAAUAGCCUGUUUGGAGUCAUUUUUACCUUAGCUAUUAGUCCAUGACCAGCAUCACUGAUAGUACAAACUCCAUUGAGAAGCCG
rnacentral:lncRNA from 1 species